rnacentral:rRNA from 1 species
AGAGUUUGAUCCUGGCUCAGGAUGAACGCUAGCUACAGGCUUAACACAUGCAAGUCGAGGGGCAGCAUGGUCUUAGCUUGCUAAGACUGAUGGCGACCGGCGCACGGGUGAGUAACACGUAUCCAACCUGCCGUCUACUCUUGGACAGCCUUCUGAAAGGAAGAUUAAUACAAGAUGGCAUCAUGAGUCCGCAUGUUCACAUGAUUAAAGGUAUUCCGGUAGACGAUGGGGAUGCGUUCCAUUAGAUAGUAGGCGGGGUAACGGCCCACCUAGUCUUCGAUGGAUAGGGGUUCUGAGAGGAAGGUCCCCCACAUUGGAACUGAGACACGGUCCAAACUCCUACGGGAGGCAGCAGUGAGGAAUAUUGGUCAAUGGGCGAGAGCCUGAACCAGCCAAGUAGCGUGAAGGAUGACUGCCCUAUGGGUUGUAAACUUCUUUUAUAAAGGAAUAAAGUCGGGUAUGCAUACCCGUUUGCAUGUACUUUAUGAAUAAGGAUCGGCUAACUCCGUGCCAGCAGCCGCGGUAAUACGGAGGAUCCGAGCGUUAUCCGGAUUUAUUGGGUUUAAAGGGAGCGUAGAUGGAUGUUUAAGUCAGUUGUGAAAGUUUGCGGCUCAACCGUAAAAUUGCAGUUGAUACUGGAUAUCUUGAGUGCAGUUGAGGCAGGCGGAAUUCGUGGUGUAGCGGUGAAAUGCUUAGAUAUCACGAAGAACUCCGAUUGCGAAGGCAGCCUGCUAAGCUGCAACUGACAUUGAGGCUCGAAAGUGUGGGUAUCAAACAGGAUUAGAUACCCUGGUAGUCCACACGGUAAACGAUGAAUACUCGCUGUUUGCGAUAUACAGCAAGCGGCCAAGCGAAAGCGUUAAGUAUUCCACCUGGGGAGUACGCCGGCAACGGUGAAACUCAAAGGAAUUGACGGGGGCCCG